AUACGUGGCAGAGCUGGCACUGGAACUCAGGCAUGACCUACCCCAGAGUCAGCACUGUCCACAGCAUCUCUGCGGGGCACGGCGUGAGCCGCAGUGCAAGGCAGUAACCUCCCUUUUCUGUUUCAGGCCCUGAAGCGCCAGAGCUCGUUGGGCCUUUCCUUCUUUAACAGCAUCUUGGCCCAUGGGGACCUACGCAACAACAAGCUCAACCAGCUCUCCGUCAACCUGUGGCACCUGGCACAGAGGCACGGCUGUGCAGACACCAGGACCAUGGUGAAAACGCUAGAAUACAUCAAGAAGCAAAGCAAACAACCAGACAUGACUCAUCUGACGGAGCUGGCCCUCAGACUCCCUCUGCAAACAAGGACCUGACCCCCGGGCCCAUCCCCAGGCUCAGGUACUCUGGUGCCAAAUCCAGAAGGAUCUGCUCUGCUGCCCUGAACUCUUACUGCAAUUUAGGUUUCUCAUUUUUCUUUUCUUUUUACAUAUGUACAAAUUGUUUUAAGCUUUGGCCUCUAUCCAGGUUAUUCUGACAAUGAAGAAAUGGGAGUUGUCAGAGCAUUAAAAUGCAGUCUUCAUUAAGAAGCAGUCUCUGUGUUGUCUUUGCACAAGUGGCCUUCGGUCUACUCAGCCCGAUCUGAUAGGCCUUUUUAGCAAGAGAGAAACAAGAAUGCAAGUAACAUCUUUCUUCUCGGAAGGUGUUUGUUUUUUCAUAGUUUAGAAAUAAGGACUUUAAAAGUGGACUGCUUUUCAAAGUGCCACUGUUCCAGACCCAUUCCAUUCCAGACUUUGUACCUUAAAGUUAGAGCAUACCCAAAGUCUGGAACUGUGUUACCUGAACCCCUAUGGAGGAUUUAUAAAAGGCAGAAAUAGCACUCCAUUAACUCUUUUUCCUAUCAAAAGCAGCUCUUGAUUGGACUUAGAAUCUGUGUUGGUGGAUCAAAGGAGAAAGCGAGGUCAAAUUUGAGAUUCUCUGUGGCUUCAGUAUACAGUAACUGAAUAAAUGUCCUGAAGG
rnacentral:sRNA from 1 species